rnacentral:rRNA from 1 species
AUUGAACGCUGGCGGCAGGCCUAACACAUGCAAGUCGAGCGGAUGAAGGGAGCUUUCGCCUGGAUUCAGCGGCGGACGGGUGAGUAAUGCCUAGGAAUCUGCCUGGUAGUGGGGGAUAACGUCCGGAAACGGGCGCUAAUACCGCAUCCGUCAUGAGGUAGAAAGGGGGGGAUCUUCGGACCUCACGCUAUCAGAUGAGCCUAGGUCGGAUUAGCUAGUUGGUGGGGUAAAGGCCUACCAAGGCGACGAUCCGUAACUGGUCUGAGAGGAUGAUCAGUCACACUGGAACUGAGACACGGUCCAGACUCCUACGGGAGGCAGCAGUGGGGAAUCUUGGACAAUGGGCGAAAGCCUGAUCCAGCAAUGCCGCGUGUGUGAAGAAGGUCUUCGGAUUGUAAAGCACUUUAAGUUGGGAGGAAGGGAAGUAAGUUAAUACCUUCAUGUUUUGACGUUACCAACAGAAUAAGCCCCGGCUAACUUCGUG